rnacentral:rRNA from 1 species
GAUCCUGGCUCAGGACGAACGCUGGCGGCGUGCUUAACACAUGCAAGUCGAACGGGAUUUAGUAGACAGAAGCCUCGGUGGAAGAUUACUAAUGAGAGUGGCGAACGGGUGAGUAACGCGUGAGCAACCUGCCUAUGACAGUGGGAUAGCCUCGGGAAACCGGGAUUAAUACCGCAUAAAAUCGUAGAAACACAUGUUUUAACGGUCAAAGAUUUAUCGGUCAUAGAUGGGCUCGCGUCUGAUUAGCUAGUUGGUGAGAUAACAGCCCACCAAGGCGACGAUCAGUAGCCGGUCUGAGAGGAUGAACGGCCACAUUGGAACUGAGACACGGUCCAAACUCCUACGGGAGGCAGCAGUGGGGAAUAUUGCACAAUGGGGGAAACCCUGAUGCAGCGACGCCGCGUGAACGAAGAAGGUAUUCGUAUCGUAAAGUUCUGUCCUAUGGGAAGAUAAUGACAGUACCAUAGAAGAAAGCUCCGGCUAAAUACGUGCCAGCAGCCGCGGUAAUACGUAUGGAGCGAGCGUUGUCCGGAAUUAUUGGGCGUAAAGGGUACGCAGGCGGUUUAAUAAGUCGAAUGUUAAAGAUCGGGGCUCAACCCCGUAAAGCAUUGGAAACUGAUAAACUUGAGUAGUGGAGAGGAAAGUGGAAUUCCUAGUGUAGUGGUGAAAUACGUAGAUAUUAGGAGGAAUACCAGUAGCGAAGGCGACUUUCUGGACACAAACUGACGCUGAGGUACGAAAGCGUGGGGAGCAAACAGGAUUAGAUACCCUGGUAGUCCACGCCGUAAACG